rnacentral:rRNA from 1 species
GUUUGAUCCUGGCUCAGAUUGAACCGCUGGCGGCAUGCUUUACACAUGCAAGUCGAACGGUAACAGGCUGCUUGCAGCGCUGACGAGUGGCGAACGGGUGAGUAAUAUAUCGGAACGUACCUAGUAAUGGGGGAUAACUAUCCGAAAGGAUAGCUAAUACCGCAUACGCCCUGAGGGGGAAAGAGGGGGAUCGCAAGACCUCUCGUUAUUAGAGCAGCCGAUAUCAGAUUAGCUAGUUGGUGAGGUAAAGGCUCACCAAGGCAACGAUCUGUAGCGGGUCUUAGAGGACGAUCCGCCACACUGGAACUGAGACACGGUCCAGACUCCUACGGGAGGCAGCAGUGGGGAAUCUUGGACAAUGGGCGCAAGCCUGAUCCAGCAAUGCCGCGUGCGUGAAGAAGGCCUUCGGGUUGUAAAGCGCUUUUGUUCGGGAGGAAAUCCUAGUGGCUAAUAUCCACUGGGGAUGACAGCACCGGAAGAAUAAGGACCGGCUAACUACGUGCCAGCAGCCGCGGUAAUACGUAGGGUCCAAGCGUUAAUCGGAAUUACUGGGCGUAAAGGGUGCGCAGGUGGUUGAUUAAGUGUGAUGUGAAAGCCCCGGGCUCAACCUGGGAAUUGCAUUGCAAACUGGUCAACUAGAGUAUGGCAGAGGGGGGUGGAAUUCCGCGUGUAGCAGUGAAAUGCGUAGAGAUGCGGAGGAACACCGAUGGCGAAGGCAACCCCCUGGGCUAAUACUGACACUCAUGCACGAAAGCGUGGGGAGCAAACAGGAUUAGAUACCCUGGUAGUCCACGCCCUAAACGAUGUCUACUAGUUGUUGGGGGAUUCGUCCCUUAGUAACGCAGCUAACGCGUGAAGUAGACCGCCUGGGGAGUACGGCCGCAAGGCUAAAACUCAAAGGAAUUGACG